AUGCUCCGCCUCCGGAGCCGCAUCCUCGCCCACCUCCUCUCUUCUCCCGCCACCUCUCUCCACCACCUCCCCCACCCACCCGCCUCCCACUACACACUCCCCCGCCUCCUCUCCGCGGCCGCUUCCCCGCACACCGGAUUCGCCGUCGAGGAGUACCUUGUCGAGGCCUGCGGCCUCACCCGAGCCCAGGCACUCAAGGCCUCGGCGAAGCUCUCCCACCUCAAGUCCCACUCCAAGCCCGACGCCGUCCUCGCCUUCCUCGCGGGCCUCGGCCUCUCCGCCGCCGACAUCGCCGCCGCCGUCGCCAGGGACCCCCACUUGCUCUGCGCCGGCGUGGAAACAACCCUGGCCCCGAACGUCGUCGGGCUCACCGACCUCGGCCUGUCACGCCCUCAGGUCGCGCGCCUCGCCGCACUCGCCGGAAAGUCCUUCCGCAUCAGAUCCAUCGUCUCCAAUCUGCCGUACUGCCGGUCUCUCCUCGGCGGCUCCUACGAGAACCUCCUCCGGGCGCUCAAGCACGACCCCUAUCUCCUCAGACGCAGCCUCGACAAGGUGAUUAAGCCCAAUGCCGCCCUCCUGCGGGAGUGCGGGCUAGAUAAUCGCGGUAUCACCAAGCUGUGCCCCGGUACUAUGUUAUGA
rnacentral:rRNA from 1 species